CAAAAUGACUCUCGGCAACGGAUAUCUCGGCUCUCGCAUCGAUGAAGAACGUAGCGAAAUGCGAUACUUGGUGUGAAUUGCAGAAUCCCGUGAACCAUCGAGUCUUUGAACGCAAGUUGCGCCCGAAGCCAUUUGGCCAAGGGCACGUUUGCUUGGGCGUCACGCA
rnacentral:rRNA from 1 species